UACAGUCAUUUGCUGGGUUGGUUUAACUGCGCUUGGUUGUGGUAAUAACAUUGCUUGCAUUAAGUAAUAACAUUACUAUUUAUUUUCAUUCGACUAUCUUAAAAACUGGUAAUUUUGAAAAUUUCUCAAAAAGUUGUCGUUCUCUCCAGAUUAAUCCAGUUUAAACCAAAUAAAGCAAUGGAGUUUUUGGCAAUUGUUCACUUUCUCUAUUUCUAUUUCUCUAUUUUACAAACGAAACCUUUGUAUUUUCUGUGGUAUUUAGUAAAGACAAACGUGUCUCUUUUAUAUAGAAAAGUAUAAAUGUAAUGGCUUUUGUGUUCCUUUUAUAUUGGCACAUGAAACAACUGUGCACAUAAAUUAUUUUAAAUUUAGGUCGACUUGUUGACAACUUCGUUCCCUUAGAGCACUUUUAGAUGAUUUAAACUCGCGGAAAUUGCCGUGUAACCAGGUUGAGCUACUCUACUAAUUAUAUACUUUAUUCGCGGCCAAUCGGUGUUAAUUCUCCAGCCGGUCGGGUGAGUCAUGUGCGGGAUUGGAUUGGAGUAUUGUGCUGGUGACAACGUGCUUGGUUAAUUGUACUAUUAUUGUGUUAACUUCCCGCAUCCUUUACCGUAAAUGUCGGAGGACCAAUUGACCGCCUGGAGCGGGGCUGUAACGAAUAAGACACCGACUCCCAGAUUACUAACUUUUUCUCCACUGCGAUACCGAUGGCUUCUUGGAGUAAAUGUAUCGAGAUCCGGCGCCCUUACUCAUGAUUGCGAUUCACAAAACUCAAACCUAAUCGGAUUUCGGAACUAUGAGCGGAUGUGAGUAUAGCCGGAGGAACGAGCUACGAUCGCGCCAAAGUGUAAGAGCCAAAAGCAAAUGCUAUUUUUUUCGACGGUUUGGCAAGCGCGCCGCACAGCCAAACGCCAUGGAAUCAAGUUCGAAGCGGUUUCAACCGCCGGCGAGCUGCAAUAAGCGCUUCCAUUCGGGCCAAGCAACUACAAAAGUCGCCACAUUGGAGUCGCUGCGAUAACGACGAGUGAGCCAUUCCCUGCCCAUGCCAUUCCAGUCCACACCGCCAGUCGAAGCUGGGCGCAGCGUAGGCUCCGUUGAAUGGCUGGCAAAAGAGCAAACGUGUCCAAAACACAAGAAUUCGGGGGCAAGCAUUUGCGAGUGUGGGAGCAGAAGAAGGGGACAAGGCAAUGGCCAAAUAAACGACGGCACAAAGCGUAGCGGCAGUAAAAUGGCAGCACGAACAGCUGCUCGUCGGCGUCGCCGGGCGAAUGGCAAGUGGGUGAGUGGCCACCAGUGAUGCGCUGUGAUUGGGAACAGUCAACCAAAUGACAGUGAUUGUGAUUGCUUCAUCAAGACAUCAAAGCCUAAUCAGAAAAUAUGUUUUGCUAAAAAACUAUUCUAGAUUUUUGACACAAUAAUGUUGAAUUUAUAAAACGGAAACGUACUAAAUUGAAAGAUUUAGAGGCAGUUAAAGAGUGAUAUAAUUUCUAUAUUCACAAAUACGUGUAAAUUAUUCACAGACAUUAUGCGAGGCAGCAAAUUCUAUUAUCGUAAAAAUUAGCAGUCCUGGAAACAAAUUCCUAGCCAAAUGCGAGUGAAGUAAGCUAUAGUGAGAACAAACUCUUCAAAAACCCAAAACAUAAUAUAAGUAUGGUAUUUUAGAGAUUGACAUUAAAUCUAGCUCGUAAUAGUACACAACCUGGUUGUAAAACCUGUGCAUAGCUCCCAUAGACUUAAUAAACAUCUCAAAAUAAAAAUUUAUUUAAGACGGAAUUUCUCGUAAAUGCCAAAGUCAUUGUGAGAAAAAGGUGAUCAACGUUGAUAAUAGACUCAACAAGUAUUUUUAAAUGAAUUUACCUACAUUUGUACAAGUCGAAAAUGUCAAAGUGCAUAACUAAUUCUCAAUCGCCAAGUUGUUUCUAGAAAACACCUUGUUUCUAUAGGCCUGAUUUCACCAUUUGGUGACACUUCUUAGUGACUCUGGCCGUGAUUGCUGGGCAUCUCUGCGAAGAGCCACGACAACGAGAAAAGCGGCCAAAGAAAAGGACCUAACCAGACGAACUGAUUUUGCGAGCAGGCCGAAAGCGAUUAGCCAUUUGUUUAACGGCACAAUAACGCCCGCAAUUCGAAUAGAAAUCGAGCAACACAUGCGACGCCGACGACAGCAGCGCUGACGCAGAUUGAGGUUAUGUGCUGGGGCCAGCGAUAAUAACCUAAACGGAAUCGGGUGAAUGCAACCUAUCUUUGGGGUUUUCCCUAGCCCUUUCCCCACGUUCGUGUCUCUGUCGGCGGUCUUGCGACCAUCAGGUAGCAACAAUAGCACGCUUCUUUGUUGACGUCACAGAGGAAGCGAGUUCAAUGGACGUGGGGCGUGUGUAUUUGGCAGGGGGUAUUUAGCUGGCUAGCACCUCUAUUUACCAUUGUUUGCGAUUUUGUCCGAGGGG